rnacentral:rRNA from 1 species
GACGAACGCUGGCGGCGUGCUUAACACAUGCAAGUCGAACGGAAAGGCCCUGCUUUGGUGGGGUGCUCGAGUGGCGAACGGUUGAGUAACACGUGAGUAACCUGCCCUUGACUUUGGGAUCACUUCAGGAAACUGGGGCUAAUACCGGAUAGCAGCUCCUGCUGCUUGGUGGGGGUUGGAAAGUUUCGGCGGUUGGGGAUGGACUCGCGGCUUAUCAGCUUGUUGGUGGGGUAGUGGCUUACCAAGGCUUUGACGGGUAGCCGGCCUGAGAGGGUGACCGGCCACAUUGGGACUGAGAUACGGCCCAGACUCCUACGGGAGGCAGCAGUGGGGAAUAUUGCACAAUGGGCGGAAGCCUGAUGCAGCAACGCCGCGUGCGGGAUGACGGCCUUCGGGUUGUAAACCGCUUUCGCCUGUGACGAAGCGUGAGUGACGGUAAUGGGUAAAGAAGCACCGGCUAACUACGUG